UACGAAGGGGGCUAGCGUUGCUCGGAAUGACUGGGCGUAAAGGGCGCGUAGGCGGAUGGCACAGUCAGAUGUGAAAUUCCUGGGCUUAACCUGGGGGCUGCAUUUGAUACGUGUGAUCUGGAGUGAGGAAGAGGGUCGUGGAAUUCCCAGUGUAGAGGUGAAAUGCGUAGAGAUCGGGAGGAACACCUGUGGCGAAGGCGGGUCUCUGGGCCGGUACCGACGCUGAGGAGCGAAAGCGUGGGGAGCGAACAGG
rnacentral:rRNA from 1 species